AACGAACGCUGGCGGCAUGCCUAACACAUGCAAGUCGAACGAGACCUUCGGGUCUAGUGGCGCACGGGUGCGUAACGCGUGGGAACCUGCCCUUAGGUUCGGAGUAACUCCCCGAAAGGGGUGCUAAUACCGGAUAAUGUCUUCGGACCAAAGAUUUAUCGCCUUUGGAUGGGCCCGCGUUGGAUUAGCUAGUUGGUAGGGUAAAAGCCUACCAAGGCGACGAUCCAUAGCUGGUCUGAGAGGAUGAUCAGCCACACUGGGACUGAGACACGGCCCAGACUCCUAUGGGAGGCAGCAGUGGGGAAUAUUGGACAAUGGGCGAAAGCCUGAUCCAGCAAUGCCGCGUGAGUGAUGAAGGCCUUAGGGUUGUAAAGCUCUUUUACCCGGGAUGAUAAUGACAGUACCGGGAGAAUAAGCUCCGGCUAACUCCGUG
rnacentral:rRNA from 1 species